AUGGCAAUAAUGGCCGACGAGUGCAUGGAGCACGCCCUGACCUUCGCCAUCGACAGCAGCACGGCGGCCCAGCACUGGCUCGUCCCGCUUCCAUCCCAGCACCAGGACGCGGCAACAUUGCAGCAGCAGCAGCAGCUUGGAUCCGUCGGAUACGACGCCGACGCGGCAGAGGAGCUCGGCCGAUCGGUCCUGCUCGUCGCGGAGGCCCUCUUCCUCCGCGGCGUCCUCGGCGACGACGAUCUCCUACGGGUCCUGUCGGCCAUGCCCAAUCCCGGCGACGCCUACCGCGACGGCGGUUUCGGAGGAGUCCCUGCGUCAGCAUCGGCGGUGGCCGGCCUGGAGAAGCGUGUUUAUUGUCGCGGGGGAGGCCAGGGCGGUCCUAGCACGACGGACACGGGCUGCGUCAUCUGCUUGGAGGACUUCGUGGCAGGUGACGAGAUCGCGUGA
rnacentral:rRNA from 1 species